rnacentral:rRNA from 1 species
AUUGAACGCUGGCGGCAGGCCUAACACAUGCAAGUCGAGCGGAUGAAGGGAGCUUGCUCCUGGAUUCAGCGGCGGACGGGUGAGUAAUGCCUAGGAAUCUGCCUGGUAGUGGGGGAUAACGUCCGGAAACGGGCGCUAAUACCGCAUACGUCCUGAGGGAGAAAGUGUGGGAUCUUCGGACCUCACGCUAUCAGAUGAGCCUAGGUCGGAUUAGCUAGUUGGUGGGGUAAAGGCCUACCAAGGCGACGAUCCGUAACUGGUCUGAGAGGAUGAUCAGUCACACUGGAACUGAGACACGGUCCAGACUCCUACGGGAGGCAGCAGUGGGGAAUAUUGGACAAUGGGCGAAAGCCUGAUCCAGCCAUGCCGCGUGUGUGAAGAAGGUCUUCGGAUUGUAAAGCACUUUAAGUUGGGAGGAAGGGCAGUAAGUUAAUAACUUGCUGUUUUGACGUUACCAACAGAAUAAGCACCGGCUAACUUCGUG